rnacentral:tRNA from 1 species
GGGGACGUAGCUCAGUUGGCAGAGCGCCUGAUUUGCAUUCAGGAGGUUGCCGGUUCGACCCCGGCCGUCUCCA